GUUUAUUAGGCGUCUGUUAUUUUUAUCUUUGGCAGAAGUUAUUCCCUCAGUUGCCGACCUUCUCCCUCCCAUCUUCAUAAGUUUCAUAAGGUGCUUUCGGUUACAUGAAACUGUAGUGGCACAAAAUUAGCUUCAAGUUCUGUGGAUCAAACAACUCGUAUUUAGAAAAUUGAGCCUCAUGGUCAUCGGAGAAGCUUACUUGAGAAUGAGAUUGAACAAAAUGAUCAGGGAUCCGAAGGAUACUAUUGUUUGAGCUUAGUUAAGUUGUCCUUUUAUAAUUUUUGGUUUAGUUUAAUAAGUAGACACCUUUGAGCUUAGUUAAGUUGUUUCGUCCUUUUACCAUUUUAAGUUUAGUUUACUAAGUAGAUGCAUGUUGUCCGUAGUGAUGAUAUUUAUACUUGUAUGGUUUUAUCCCAACUCAGACAACUUCUACUAUUAAUAUAUUUGGUUGUUUGUACACGAUGGCUUUGUCAGCAAAAUCGAAUACUUGAUGGAUAUUACUUGAUUGAGCAGCCUGCAAGUGUAUCUUCUGUAUACAUAAUUAAAUUCUUCUUUAGUUUUGUGGAAUCAAAUAAAUGUUGGUGCUAUGUGCACAAAAAACAUGGUCAUCCUUCCUAUUCAGUUAGUUCUUGAGGCUAUGCAUGAGCGGGUUUAUUGCUUCUUCUUCUCUUAUAUUCCCCUAUAUUAGUCCCCAUGUUGUUCAAGUUCUUCCUAUGGUGCUUGCUAUGUAGCCGUACAUACAGAGUUGAGGUUUUCCCUACUAUUCAUUUUGCUGCCACUUUGAACUCUGAGUUUCGGAAGUGGAACACUUUAAUAAGUUGACGAAAUAAAAGUGACAUAAUUAAUAAGUUGUUCCUUUUCUUUGUUUUUGAAGUAAGGUUUAGCUAUGGUUGGAU